AGUCACGACGCAUAUCAAUAAGCGGAGGAAAAGAAACCAACAGGGAUUGCCUCAGUAACGGCGAGUGAAGCGGCAAGAGCUCAAAUUUGAAAGCUGGCUCCUUCGGGGUCCGCAUUGUAAUUUGCAGAGGAUGCUUCGGGAGCGGCCCCCAUCUAAGUGCCCUGGAACGGGCCGUCAUAGAGGGUGAGAAUCCCGUCUGGGAUGGGGUGCCCGCGCCCGUGUGAAGCUCCUUCGACGAGUCGAGUUGUUUGGGAAUGCAGCUCUAAAUGGGUGGUAAAUUUCAUCUAAAGCUAAAUACUGGCCGGAGACCGAUAGCGCACAAGUAGAGUGAUCGAAAGAUGAAAAGCACUUUGAAAAGAGAGUUAAACAGCACGUGAAAUUGUUGAAAGGGAAGCGCUUGCGACCAGACUCGCUCGCGGGGUUCAGCCGGCCUUCGGGCCGGUGUACUUCCCCGCGGGCGGGCCAGCGUCGGUUUGGGCGGCCGGUCAAAGGCCCUCGGAAUGUAACGCCCCCCGGGGCGUCUUAUAGCCGAGGGUGCCAUGCGGCCAGCCCGGACCGAGGAACGCGCUUCGGCUCGGACGCGGCAUAAGGUCGUAAGCG
rnacentral:rRNA from 1 species